GAGUUUGAUCUUGACUCAGAUUGAACGCUGGCGGCAUGCCUUACACAUGCAAGUCGAACGGCAGCAUGAUCUAGCUUGCUAGAUUGAUGGCGAGUGGCGAACGGGUGAGUAAUACAUCGGAACGUGCCCUGUAGUGGGGGAUAACUAGUCGAAAGAUUAGCUAAUACCGCAUACGACCUGAGGGUGAAAGUGGGGGACCGCAAGGCCUCAUGCUAUAGGAGCGGCCGAUGUCUGAUUAGCUAGUUGGUGGGUAAAGGCCCACCAAGGCGACGAUCAGUAGCUGGUCUGAGAGGACGAUCAGCCACACUGGGACUGAGACACGGCCCAGACUCCUACGGGAGGCAGCAGUGGGGAAUUUUGGACAAUGGGCGAAAGCCUGAUCCAGCAAUGCCGCGUGUGUGAAGAAGGCCUCGGUUGUAA
rnacentral:rRNA from 1 species